AAGUCGUAACAAGGUUUCCGUAGGUGAACCUGCGGAAGGAUCAUUAACACGUAUCCAAACGUUAACCCCCCUGUGAACCUUUAGUGUGCUCGUACGCUUUGUCAGUGACACUUUCAGACACCAACUGCUUGGGAAUGCCAGGCCACUUGCCUCGCGCUACGAGCACACUCUUUGUGGAAGUCCCUAAAUCGAAAACUGUUCGGCGAUGAUUUACUAGGGAUUGCCACGCUCUGGCUGUGUAAGGAUGGCGCAGUCACGAUCGUUGGAGGCCGACACGGCCGACGACCGGGUCACCGGGCUCACGCCCCUUAAUCACAACUUAAUGCAUGUCAGACGCGCCUGCGCUUAAUUGUGCGGCGACCAUAAAACUCGAACAACUGUUAACAAUGGAUAUCUUGGUUCUC
rnacentral:misc_RNA from 1 species